rnacentral:rRNA from 1 species
CUCUAAGCACCAGGUAACAUUAAAUCGUACCCCAAACCGACACAGGUGGUCAGGUAGAGAAUACCAAGGCGCUUGAGAGAACUCGGGUGAAGGAACUAGGCAAAAUGGUGCCGUAACUUCGGGAGAAGGCACGCUGACAUGUAGGUGAAGCCCCUGCGGGUGGAGCUGAAGUCAGUCGAAGAUACCAGCUGGCUGCAACUGUUUAUUAAAAACACAGCACUGUGCAAACACGAAAGUGGACGUAUACGGUGUGACGCCUGCCCGGUGCCGGAAGGUUAAUUGAUGGGGUUAUCGCAAGAGAAGCUCCUGAUCGAAGCCCCGGUAAACGGCGGCCGUAACUAUAACGGUCCUAAGGUAGCGAAAUUCCUUGUCGGGUAAGUUCCGACCUGCACGAAUGGCGUAAUGAUGGCCAGGCUGUCUCCACCCGAGACUCAGUGAAAUUGAACUCGCUGUGAAGAUGCAGUGUACCCGCGGCAAGACGGAAAGACCCCGUGAACCUUUACUACAGCUUGACACUGAACAUUGAGCCUUGAUGUGUAGGAUAGGUGGGAGGCUUUGAAGCGUGGACGCCAGUCUGCGUGGAGCCAACCUUGAAAUACCACCCUUUAAUGUUUGAUGUUCUAACCUGGCGCCGUGAUCCGGCGUGGGGACAGUGUCUGGUGGGUAGUUUGACUGGGGCGGUCUCCUCCCAAAGUGUAACGGAGGAGCACGAAGGUCAGCUAAUCCUGGUCGGACAUCAGGAGGUUAGUGCAAUGGCAUAAGCUGGCUUGACUGCGAGAGUGACGGCUCGAGCAGGUGCGAAAGCAGGUCAUAGUGAUCCGGUGGUUCUGUAUGGAAGGGCCAUCGCUCAACGGAUAAAAGGUACUCCGGGGAUAACAGGCUGAUACCGCCCAAGAGUUCAUAUCGACGGCGGUGUUUGGCACCUCGAUGUCGGCUCAUCACAUCCUGGGGCUGAAGUAGGUCCCAAGGGUAUGGCUGUUCGCCAUUUAAAGUGGUACGCGAGCUGGGUUUAGAACGUCGUGAGACAGUUCGGUCCCUAUCUGCCGUGGGCGCUGGAGAAUUGAGGGGGGCUGCUCCCAGUACGAGAGGACCGGAGUGGACGCAUCACUGGUGUUCGGGUUGUCAUGCCAAUGGCACUGCCCGGUAGCUAAAUGCGGAAGAGAUAAGUGCUGAAAGCAUCUAAGCACGAAACUUGCCCCGAGAUGAGUUCUCCCUGAGACUGUAAGUCUCCUGAAGGAACGUUGAAGACGACGACGUUGAUAGGCCGGGUGUGUAAGCGCAGCGAUGCGUUGAGCUAACCGGUACUAAUGAACCGUGAGGCUUAACCUU